rnacentral:rRNA from 1 species
UCUUUAUGGGGUGACUGCGUACCUUUUGUAUAAUGGGUCAGCGACUUAUAUUCUGUAGCAAGGUUAACCGAAUAGGGGAGCCGAAGGGAAACCGAGUCUUAACUGGGCGUUAAGUUGCAGGGUAUAGACCCGAAACCCGGUGAUCUAGCCAUGGGCAGGUUGAAGGUUGGGUAACACUAACUGGAGGACCGAACCGACUAAUGUUGAAAAAUUAGCGGAUGACUUGUGGCUGGGGGUGAAAGGCCAAUCAAACCGGGAGAUAGCUGGUUCUCCCCGAAAGCUAUUUAGGUAGCGCCUCGUGAAUUCAUCUCCGGGGGUAGAGCACUGUUUCGGCAAGGGGGUCAUCCCGACUUACCAACCCGAUGCAAACUGCGAAUACCGGAGAAUGUUAUCACGGGAGACACACGGCGGGUGCUAACGUCCGUCGUGAAGAGGGAAACAACCCAGACCGCCAGCUAAGGUCCCAAAGUCAUGGUUAAGUGGGAAACGAUGUGGGAAGGCCCAGACAGCCAGGAUGUUGGCUUAGAAGCAGCCAUCAUUUAAAGAAAGCGUAAUAGCUCACUGGUCGAGUCGGCCUGCGCGGAAGAUGUAACGGGGCUAAACCAUGCACCGAAGCUGCGGCAGCGACGCUUAUGCGUUGUUGGGUAGGGGAGCGUUCUGUAAGCCUGUGAAGGUGUGCUGUGAGGCAUGCUGGAGGUAUCAGAAGUGCGAAUGCUGACAUAAGUAACGAUAAAGCGGGUGAAAAGCCCGCUCGCCGGAAGACCAAGGGUUCCUGUCCAACGUUAAUCGGGGCAGGGUGAGUCGACCCCUAAGGCGAGGCCGAAAGGCGUAGUCGAUGGGAAACAGGUUAAUAUUCCUGUACUUGGUGUUACUGCGAAGGGGGGACGGAGAAGGCUAUGUUGGCCGGGCGACGGUUGUCCCGGUUUAAGCGUGUAGGCUGGUUUUCCAGGCAAAUCCGGAAAAUCAAGGCUGAGGCGUGAUGACGAGGCACUACGGUGCUGAAGCAACAAAUGCCCUGCUUCCAGGAAAAGCCUCUAAGCAUCAGGUAACAUCAAAUCGUACCCCAAACCGACACAGGUGGUCAGGUAGAGAAUACCAAGGCGCUUGAGAGAACUCGGGUGAAGGAACUAGGCAAAAUGGUGCCGUAACUUCGGGAGAAGGCACGCUGAUAUGUAGGUGAGGUCCCUCGCGGAUGGAGCUGAAAUCAGUCGAAGAUACCAGCUGGCUGCAACUGUUUAUUAAAAACACAGCACUGUGCAAACACGAAAGUGGACGUAUACGGUGUGACGCCUGCCCGGUGCCGGAAGGUUAAUUGAUGGGGUUAGCGGUAACGCGAAGCUCUUGAUCGAAGCCCCGGUAAACGGCGGCCGUAACUAUAACGGUCCUAAGGUAGCGAAAUUCCUUGUCGGGUAAGUUCCGACCUGCACGAAUGGCGUAAUGAUGGCCAGGCUGUCUCCACCCGAGACUCAGUGAAAUUGAACUCGCUGUGAAGAUGCAGUGUACCCGCGGCAAGACGGAAAGACCCCGUGAACCUUUACUAUAGCUUGACACUGAACAUUGAGCCUUGAUGUGUAGGAUAGGUGGGAGGCUUUGAAGUGUGGACGCCAGUCUGCAUGGAGCCGACCUUGAAAUACCACCCUUUAAUGUUUGAUGUUCUAACGUUGACCCGUAAUCCGGGUUGCGGACAGUGUCUGGUGGGUAGUUUGACUGGGGCGGUCUCCUCCUAAAGAGUAACGGAGGAGCACGAAGGUUGGCUAAUCCUGGUCGGACAUCAGGAGGUUAGUGCAAUGGCAUAAGCCAGCUUGACUGCGAGCGUGACGGCGCGAGCAGGUGCGAAAGCAGGUCAUAGUGAUCCGGUGGUUCUGAAUGGAAGGGCCAUCGCUCAACGGAUAAAAGGUACUCCGGGGAUAACAGGCUGAUACCGCCCAAGAGUUCAUAUCGACGGCGGUGUUUGGCACCUCGAUGUCGGCUCAUCACAUCCUGGGGCUGAAGUAGGUCCCAAGGGUAUGGCUGUUCGCCAUUUAAAGUGGUACGCGAGCUGGGUUUAGAACGUCGUGAGACAGUUCGGUCCCUAUCUGCCGUGGGCGCUGGAGAACUGAGGGGGGCUGCUCCUAGUACGAGAGGACCGGAGUGGACGCAUCACUGGUGUUCGGGUUGUCAUGCCAAUGGCACUGCCCGGUAGCUAAAUGCGGAAGAGAUAAGUGCUGAAAGCAUCUAAGCACGAAACUUGCCCCGAGAUGAGUUCUCCC